CGGCGCCCCUCGGCCGCAGGCCGCCUCCAGAGCCGCGGGAUGUAGCGCCCCGGCCUGCGGCCCCCAGCAGAGGCAGCCAGCCAGGCCUGUCCAUCAUCACUGGGAGAUCUCUGCCCUCUGGGGCUGAGAGACCCCAACCUCUCCUCAAGCUGAAGCUGCAAGGCACUGAGGUACCAGCCAGAUGUCUUCCCACAAAGGAUCUGCCGUGGCCCAGGGCAAUGGGGCUCCUUCUAGUAACAGAGCAGCGGACACGGUGGAGCUGGCUGAGCUGGGGCCCCUGCUGGAGGAGAAGGGUAAGCGGGCAGCCACCAGCCCAGCCAAGGCUGAAGAAGAACAAGCAUGCCCCGUGCCUCAGGAGGAGGAGGAGGAGGUGCGGGUGCUGACCCUUCCUCUGCAAGCCCACCAUGCCAUGGAGAAGAUGGAGGAGUUCGUAUAUAAGGUUUUGUGCUAUUUCUCUUUCUGGGAAUCUUGACCAUGCUCAGACCAAAUAUGUACUUCAUGGCUCCCCUCCAGGAGAAGGUGGUCUUCGGGAUGUUCUUCCUGGGUGCAGUGCUCUGCCUCAGCUUCUCCUGGCUUUUCCACACCGUCUACUGUCAUUCAGAGAAGGUCUCUCGCACUUUUUCCAAACUGGACUAUUCAGGGAUUGCUCUACUGAUUAUGGGGAGCUUCGUCCCCUGGCUCUAUUACUCCUUCUACUGCUCCCCACAGCCACGGCUCAUCUACCUCUCCAUCGUCUGUGUCCUGGGCAUCUCUGCCAUCAUUGUGGCACAGUGGGACCGGUUUGCCACUCCCAAGCACCGGCAGACAA
rnacentral:lncRNA from 1 species